rnacentral:rRNA from 1 species
UACGGAGGGUGCAAGCGUUAUCCGGAUUUACUGGGUUUAAAGGGUGCGUAGGUGGGUUGGUAAGUCAGUGGUGAAAUACUUUCGCUUAACGAAGGAACUGCCAUUGAUACUACCAGUCUUGAAUACAGUGGAGGUAGGCUGAAUGCGUCAUGUAGCGGUGAAAUGCGUAGAUAUCGUAAGGAAGACCAGUGGCGAAGGCGGGUCUCUGGACAGUUCCUGACGCUGAGGCACGAAGGUCAGGGGAGCAAACGGG